rnacentral:rRNA from 1 species
GUGGGGAAUUUUGGACAAUGGGGGCAACCCUGAUCCAGCCAUGCCGCGUGCGGGAAGAAGGCCUUCGGGUUGUAAACCGCUUUUGUCAGGGAAGAAAUCCUUUGGGUUAAUACCUCGGAGGGAUGACGGUACCUGAAGAAUAAGCACCGGCUAACUACGUGCCAGCAGCCGCGGUAAUACGUAGGGUGCAAGCGUUAAUCGGAAUUACUGGGCGUAAAGCGUGCGCAGGCGGUUUUGUAAGACAGGCGUGAAAUCCCCGGGCUCAACCUGGGAAUUGCGCUUGUGACUGCAAGGCUGGAGUGCGGCAGAGGGGGAUGGAAUUCCGCGUGUAGCAGUGAAAUGCGUAGAUAUGCGGAGGAACACCGAUGGCGAAGGCAAUCCCCUGGGCCUGCACUGACGCUCAUGCACGAAAGCGUGGGGAGCAAACAGGAUUAGAAACCCCGGUAGUCC